UGCCAGCAGCCGCGGUAAUACGGAGGGUGCGAGCGUUAAUCGGAAUUACUGGGCGUAAAGCGCGCGUAGGCGGCUUUGUAAGUCGGAUGUGAAAUCCCCGGGCUUAACCUGGGGUGGUCAUCCAAAACUGGAUAACUAGAGUAUAGUAGAGGGCAGUGGAAUUUCCGGUGUAGCGGUGAAAUGCGUAGAUAUCGGAAGGAACACCAGUGGCGAAGGCGACUGCCUGGACUGAAACUGACACUGAGGUGCGAAAGCGUGGGGAGCGAACAGGAUUAGAUA
rnacentral:rRNA from 1 species